rnacentral:rRNA from 1 species
GACGAACGCUGGCGGCGUGCUUAACACAUGCAAGUCGAACGGAAAGGCCCUGCUUUUGUGGUGUGCUCGAGUGGCGAACGGGUGAGUAACACGAGAGUAACCUGCCCUUGACUUUGGGAUAACUUCAGGAAACGGGGGCUAAUACCGUAUAGGAGCUCCUGCUGCAUGGUGGGGGUUGGAAAGUUUCGGCGGUUGGGGAUGGACUCGCGGCUGAUCAGCUUGUUGGUGGGGUAGUGGCUUACCAAGGCUUUGACGGGUAGCCGGCCUGAGAGGGUGACCGGCCACAUUGGGACUGAGAGACGGACCAGUCUCCUACGGGAGGCAGCAGUGGGGAAUAUUGCACAAUGGGCGGAAGCCUGAUGCAGCAACGCCGCGUGCGGGAUGACGGCCUUCGGGUUGUAAACCGCUUUCGCCUGUGACGAAGCGUGAGUGACGGUAAUGGGUAAAGAAGCACCGGCUAACUACGUG